rnacentral:rRNA from 1 species
AACGAACGCUGGCGGCAUGCCUAACACAUGCAAGUCGAACGAGACCUUCGGGUCUAGUGGCGCACGGGUGCGUAACGCGUGGGAACCUUCCCUUAUGUUCGGAAUAACUCUCCGAAAGGGGUGCUAAUACCGGAUAAUGUCUUCUGACCAAAGAUUUAUCGCCUUUGGAUGGUCCCGAGUUGAAUUAGCUAGUGGUUAGGGUAAAAGCCUACCAAGGCGACGAUCCAUAGCUGGUCUGAGAGGAUGAUCAGCCACACUGGGACUGAGACACGGCCCAGAAUCCUACGGGAGGCAGCAGUGGGGAAUAUUGGAAAAUGGGCGAAAGCAUGAUCCAGCAAUGCCGCGUGAGUGAUGAAGGCCUUAGGGUUGUAAAGCUCUUUUAACCGGGAUGAUAAUGACAGUACCGGGAGAAUAAGCUCCGGCUAACUCCGUG